rnacentral:rRNA from 1 species
UACAGAGGGGGCAAGCGUUAUUCGGAAUUAUUGGGCGUAAAGAGCUCGUAGGCGGCUUGUCACGUCGGCCGUGAAAUCUCCACGCUUAACGUGGAGCGUGCGGUCGAUACGGGCAGACUUGAGUUCGGUAGGGGAGACUGGAAUUCCUGGUGUAGCGGUGAAAUGCGUAGAUAUCGGGAGGAACACCUGUGGCGAAAGCGGCGCACUGGACCACAACUGACGCUGAGGCGCGAAAGCUAGGGGAGCAAACAGG